ACAGAGUAAAUUAAGGGCGCGCGGUGGAUGCCUAGGCUCUCGGAGGCGAAGAAGGACGUGACAAGCUGCGAUAAGCCCCGGGUAGGUGCAAAUGACCAUAGAUCCGGGGAUUUCCGAAUGGGGCAACCCGGCACGCGGGACGCGUGUCAUGCUAUAUAUAGCAGGCGAACGCGGGGAACUGAAACAUCUCAUUACCCGCAGGAAAAGAAAACAACAGUGAUACCCCCAGUAGCGGCGAGCGAACGGGGCGUAGCCCAAACCGUUGGCGUCGAGGCGCCAGCGGGGUUAUAGGACCGUGUAAUGUCAUGGAGAGGAAGACGCAGAAGUCGCUGGAAAGCGACGCCGUGGAUGGUGAAAGCCCAGUACGCUAAAUACCUUCCCGUGAUAACGGUAUCCUGAGUAAGGCGGGACACGAGUAAUCCUGCCUGAAUUCACCGGGCCCACCCGGUAAGGCUAAACACUCCCGAGAGACCGAUAGUGAACCAGUACCGCGAGGGAAAGGUGAAAAGCACCCCGAGCAGGGGAGUGAAAUAGACCCUGAACCCGCGCGCCUACAAGCGGUCGGAGCCACGCGAUGUGGUGACGGCGUGCCUUUUGCAUAAUGAGCCUACGAGUUAGUCGUCACUGGCGAGGUUAAGGGUCUGGAGACCCGUGAGCCGAAGCGAAAGCGAGUCUUAAUAGGGCGCAAAGUCAGUGGCGCUAGACGCGAAACCUUGUGAUCUACCCUUGUCCAGGUUGAAGGAUGGGUAACACCAUCUGGAGGAUCGAACCGGUAAACGUUGAAAAGUUUUCGGAUGAGGCGAGGGUAGGGGUGAAAGGCCAAUCAAACUGGGAAAUAGCUCGUACUCUCCGAAAUGCAUUUAGGUGCAGCCUGUCGAGUUUCGUUACCGAGGUAGAGCUACUGAUUGGACGCGAGGGCUUCACCGCCUAUCAAAUCCGGCCAAACUCCGAAUGCGGUAACUUCAAAUCGAUGGAGCGAGCCCGCGGGUGCUAAGGUCCGCGGACGAGAGGGGAAUAACCCGGACUAUCAGCUAAGGUCCCGAAUUGACGUUUAAGUUGAAUAAACGAGGUGGGAUCGCCUAGACAGCUAGGAUGUUGGCUUGGAAGCAGCCAUUCAUUUAAAGAGUGCGUAACAGCUCACUAGUCGAGCGCUCCCGCGUGGAUAAUACACGGGCAUGAAAACGUCAACCGAAGCUAUAGGAUGUACUUGAAUGGUACGUCGGUAGGAGAGCAUUCCUGUCAGCGUCGAAGCGAUAUCGCGAGGUGUCGUGGAGCGUCAGGAAAAGCAAAUGUAGGCAUAAGUAACGAUAAUGGAGGCGAGAACCCUCCACGCCGCAAGACCAAGGCUUCCCCGGCAAUGUCAAUCACCCGGGGGUCAGUCGGGCCCUAAGGCUAACCCGAAGGGGGAUGCCGAUGGCGAACGGGUUAAUAUUCCCGUACUUCUUCACGUCGUGACGCGGUGACGGGGCGAUGACAGGGUCGCGUGCGGACGGAAUGGCACGUUGAAGCCCGUACCCUUCGAGGCCGGUAGUUAAGCACGCCGGCCGAGGCGAAAGGCGAUAGUACCGCGAGAUUUCGGUCGAGCGGAUAGUACCCGUAAUUUCACCCCCAAGAAAACCCGCUAAACUUCAAGCGUGAAGGACCCGUACCGUAAACGGACACACGUGGUCGGGUAGAGUAUACCAAGGCGCUCGAGUGAAUCGUGGCCAAGGAACUAGGCACAAUGGUCCUGUAACCUCGGGAUAAAGGACGCUCUAGUGAUAGAGCCGCAGAGAAAUGGCCCAGGCGACUGUUUACCAAAAACACAUGGCUAUGCUAAAUCGCGAGAUGACGUAUAUGGCCUGACACCUGCCCGGUGCCGGAAGGUUAAGAGGAGGGGUUAGAGUGAUCGACGCCCCUAAUUGAAGCCCCGGUAAACGGCGGCCGUAACUAUAACGGUCCUAAGGUAGCGAAAUUCCUUGUCGGGUAAGUUCCGACCUGCACGAAUGGUGUAACGAUCUGGGCACUGUCUCGGCCACGAGCUCGGUGAAAUUGUAGUUCCGGUGAAGAUGCCGGGUACCCGCGACGGGACGGAAAGACCCCGUGAACCUUUACUGCAGCUUCGCGUUGUUCCCGGGCACGGGACGUGUAGGAUAGGUCGGAGACAUAGAAGUGGUUUCGUCAGGAAUCAUGGAGUCAUCGUUGAAAUACGACCCUUCCCUUGUCUGGGAUCUAAUCUAGUGAUAGAGACACCGCGUGGUGGGUAGUUUGACUGGGGUGGUCGCCUCCAAAAGCGUAACGGAGGCUUCCAAAGGUACCCUCAACUUGUUCGGUAAUCAAGUGUAGAGUGCAAUGGCACAAGGGUGCUUGACAGGGAGACACACGAGUCGAUCUGGCGCGAAAGCGGGGCAUAGUGAUCCGGUGGUUCCAGUGUGGAAUGGCCAUCGCUCAAAGGAUAAAAGGUACUCCGGGGAUAACAGGCUGAUCGCCCCCAAGAGCUCAUAUCGACGGGGCGGUUUGGCACCUCGAUGUCGGCUCGUCACAUCCUGGGGCUGGAGAAGGUCCCAAGGGUUCGGCUGUUCGCCGAUUAAAGUGGCACGCGAGCUGGGUUCAGAACGUCGUGAGACAGUUCGGUCCCUAUCUGUCGUGGGCGUUGGAGAUUCGCGAGGUCCUGACUCUAGUACGAGAGGACCGGGUUGGACGCGCCUCUAGUGAACCGGUUAUGACGCCAGUCGUACGGCCGGGUAGCCACGCGCGGAUCGGAUAAGCGCUGAAAGCAUCUAAGCGCGAAGCCGGCCUCAAGAUGAGAUCUCCAUUUAGGGUCGUUGUAGACGACGACGUUGAUAGGCCGCAGGUGUACAGCCGGUGACGGCAUAGCCGAGCGGUACUAAUCACCCGAUAUACUCUGUUG
rnacentral:rRNA from 1 species